rnacentral:SRP_RNA from 1 species
GGCAGGAGGCCGUGCAGGCGCUGCUGCAAGGCCCUGAUCUGCACCCUGACGUUAACUACAGCGACGGAGCCCCGCUCAGGCUGGCAGCAGAGCAGGG